GCUUCAUUCUUUAUCUUCCAUAUUGAUUUGGCAAUUCUGGUUCUUUUGUGAUACCAUAUAAACUUUAGGGUUGUUUGUUCUAUUUCUGUGAAAAAUAUCCUGAGUAAUUUGAUAAGGAUCACAUUAAAUCUGCAGAUUGCU